CAGUAGCCACGGGAAUGCGGAGGGGGCUAGCGUUGUUCGGAAUUACUGGGCGUAAAGCGCACGUAGGCGGCUUGGUAAGUUAGAGGUGAAAGCCUGGAGCUCAACUCCAGAAUUGCCUUUAGGACUGCCGAGCUAGCAGGUGAGAGAGGUAAGUGGAAUUCCGAGUGUAGAGGUGAAAUUCGUAGAUAUUCGGAAGAACACCAGUGGCGAAGGCGGCUUACUGGCUCAUACUGGACGCUGAGGUGCGAAAGCGUGGGGAGCAAACAGGAUUAGAUACCCCUGUAGUCCCUGUCUCUUAUAC
rnacentral:rRNA from 1 species